AUUGAACGCUGGCGGCAUGCUUUACACAUGCAAGUCGAACGGCAGCGCGGGCUUCGUCCUGGCGGCGAUUGGCGAACGGGUGAGUAAUACAUCGGAACGUGCCCAGUAGUGGGGGAUAGCUCGGCGAAAGCCGGAUUAAUACCGCAUACGACCUGCGGGUGAAAGCGGGGGAUCUUCGGACCUCGCGCUAUUGGAGCGGCCGAUGGCAGAUUAGCUAGUUGGUGGGGUAAAGGCCUACCAAGGCGACGAUCUGUAGCUGGUCUGAGAGGACGACCAGCCACACUGGGACUGAGACACGGCCCAGACUCCUACGGGAGGCAGCAGUGGGGAAUUUUGGACAAUGGGCGAAAGCCUGAUCCAGCAAUGCCGCGUGUGUGAUGAAGGCCUUCGGGUUGUAAAGCACUUUUGGCGGGAACGAAAAGGACUGUGCCAAUACCACGGUUCGAUGACGGUACCCGCAGAAUAAGCACCGGCUAACUACGUG
rnacentral:rRNA from 1 species